rnacentral:rRNA from 1 species
UACGGGGGGAGCAAGCGUUGUUCGGAUUUACUGGGCGUAAAGGGCGCGUAGGCGGCCACCGCAAGUCGGUUGUGAAAUCUCCGGGCUUAACUCGGAAAGGUCAACUGAUACUGUGCGACUAGAGUGCAGAAGGGGCAACUGGAAUUCUCGGUGUAGCGGUGAAAUGCGUAGAUAUCGAGAGGAACACCUGCGGCGAAGGCGGGUUGCUGGGCUGACACUGACGCUGAGGCGCGAAAGCCAGGGGAGCGAACGGG